rnacentral:rRNA from 1 species
UACGUAGGGCGCAAGCGUUAUCCGGAAUUAUUGGGCGUAAAGAGCUCGUAGGCGGUUUGUCGCGUCUGCCGUGAAAGUCCGGGGCUCAACCCCGGAUCUGCGGUGGGUACGGGCAGACUAGAGUAAUGUAGGGGAGACUGGAAUUCCUGGUGUAGCGGUGAAAUGCGCAGAUAUCAGGAGGAACACCGAUGGCGAAGGCAGGUCUCUGGGCAUUAACUGACGCUGAGGAGCGAAAGCAUGGGGAGCGAACAGG